rnacentral:rRNA from 1 species
GGCGAACGGGUGAGUAACACGUGGGUAAUCUGCCUGGGAGCGGGGGAUAACCUGGGGAAACUCGGGCUAAUACCGCAUACGUCGGCGGGGCUGCGGCCCCGCCAAGAAAGCUGGCCUCUGCUUGCAAGCUAGCACUCCCAGAGGAGCCCGCGGCUGAUUAGCUAGUUGGUGAGGUAAUGGCUCACCAAGGCAACGAUCAGUAGCCGGCCUGAGAGGGUGAUCGGCCACACUGGGACUGAGACACGGCCCAGACUCCUACGGGAGACAGCAGUGGGGAAUAUUGGACAAUGGGCGCAAGCCUGAUCCAGCAACGCCGCGUGGAGGACGAAGGUCUUCGGAUCGUAAACUCCUGUCAGGCGGGACGAAAAGGCGUCGGUGAAUAAUCGGCGCCGCUGACGGUACCGCCAGAGGAAGCCCCGGCUAACUCCGUGCCAGCCGCCGCGG